AACAGAAGCUGUGCUGGCCAAUAUCUGCUGUGUACUGGCUUAGGACACAUUGUACUUUGCUGCUGCACAUCAGCUCACAAUCCUACACUUCACUGCAGUUCUGCACAGCACCCCUGCCCUGAGCUAUUCAAGUGCUGAUAAUCAAUCAUUUUUCUUCUUUCUGUCACAAUCACAAAUGGUAUUCUAAGCCUCUUGCUCAGCAGGACCGUAAGUCCUUUUGCUUUGCAGUUUAACCAUUCAUAUUGGUUAUCUCUAUGCUGGAGCACUAAAUUAAUGCUAAAUUUUAGGGAUUUUUCUAUUUGAAAAUUUCAAAUAAGGCACUUGCUACUUCUAAAGGAAUAACCAUAGGAGAAGCUCUGAUAUUAGAGGGCUGGUGUGUGUUCCAGCAACUGAAACAUGGGUUAGAUUUUAUAUUCAAUCUGGUAUCACUUCCUCUAUCAAAAUAGGGAGGACUCAUGCUACAAAAUGUUCCCAUUCAGAGGGCCCUCUCCUGUUGAGGCAUUGAAAUAUUUAAUCCAUCCAUUCUAAGUGCUGUCCAGUUGCUAAAAAAAAAACAUAAAUCAACAGAAAUCAUACGAAGUAAACAUUAACCUCAUCCUCAGAGUCAGGUGGUUACUUAAGCAGAAGGUGCAGAAGAGGCAUGAGGGAAAACACUUCCACAGUCUGACAGAGUUCUGUCUACCUGGGAUCAGCCACCCUUCCAAUAUGAGGUGGACAAGCUCUUUCUAGAAGUGCCCUUUCCACCCACCCUGCUUUGCAGAAGAAAAGAAUAAGAGCUUGGAAGUACCUGCCUUUGAGUGGGCAUGCCCAGGUUCUAGAAAGGUACUUCCAAGGUGCUGCAGCAAGAGCCAUGUGAUGAGACAGGGAACGAGAGAGGUCAGAGGCUACGCUGAUGUUUUUACAACCAUACAGUGUUAGUUAAGGUUUAUACACCAACAACUGUGAGACAGGAUCUUAUGUCUGCAAGACUGUGAACACAGGAUAUAAAUGUAUGUCUGUUGUGUUCUCAUACCAUGGCUGGUAAUGUCAUGAAACCUUAGGGGAAUAACUAAUUAAUAAUCUGAAAGAUCUGCAUGUACAAAUAUUAUGCUGCAUGAAUAGUACAGUGGUAU